AAGACUAAUACCCAAUGACGUCUCUAGAAGACAUCUGAAAGAGAUUAAAGAUUUAUCGGUGAUGGAUGGGGAUGCGUCUGAUUAGCUUGUUGGCGGGGUAACGGCCCACCAAGGCAACGAUCAGUAGGGGUUCUGAGAGGGAGGUCCCCCACAUUGGAACUGAGACACGGUCCAAACUCCUACGGGAGGCAGCAGUGAGGAAUAUUGGUCAAUGGACGAGAGUCUGAACCAGCCAAGUAGCGUGCAGGAUGACGGCCCUAUGGGUUGUAAACUGCUUUUAUAAGGGAAUAAAGUGAGAGUCGUGACUCUUUUUGCAUGUACCUUAUGAAUAAGGACCGGCUAAUUCCGUGCCAGCAGCCGCGGUAAUACGGAAGGUCCGGGCGUUAUCCGGAUUUAUUGGGUUUAAAGGGAGCGUAGGCCGGAGAUUAAGCGUGUUGUGAAAUGUAGACGCUCAACGUCUGCACUGCAGCGCGAACUGGUUUCCUUGAGUACGCACAAAGUGGGCGGAAUUCGUGGUGUAGCGGUGAAAUGCUUAGAUAUCACGAAGAACUCCGAUUGCGAAGGCAGCUCACUGGAGCGCAACUGACGCUGAAGCUCGAAAGUGCGGGUAUCGAACAGGAUUAGAUACCCUGGUAGUCCGCACGGUAAACGAUGGAUGCCCGCUGUUGGUCUGAAUAGGUCAGCGGCCAAGCGAAAGCAUUAAGCAUCCCACCUGGGGAGUAC
rnacentral:rRNA from 1 species